rnacentral:rRNA from 1 species
UUAGAUGUCCUGGGCCGCACGCGCGCUACACUGAUGCAUGCAACGAGUUUUCUUCUUCCUGGGUCGAGAGGCCCGGGUAAUCUGUUGAACGUGCAUCGUGAUAGGGAUAGAUCAUUGCAAUUAUUGAUCUUGAACGAGGAAUUCCUAGUAAACGCGAGUCAUCAGCUCGCAUUGAUUACGUCCCUGCCCUUUGUACACACCGCCCGUCGCACCUACCGAUUGAAUGUUUCGGUGAAGAUUCCGGACUGUGGCUCGCGCGCUUCACGGCGCUCUUGCCGUGGAAGUUAUCUAAACCUCAACAUUUAGAGGAAGGUGAAGUNNNNNCAAGGUUUCCGUAGGUGAACCUGCGGAAGGAUCAUUACCGAAAAAAGUCCGGAGAUGAGGAUGCCGGACUCAAAACACAAGAAAGCCCAUCAUGAGCAGUGCAAAAAAGCCGACGACCGACGCCUCUGCCGCGAUGCUCGCUUGGACCACCCCGUCCCGUUCUCUUUUUUCCCCCGUGUGAAUGAGGUGUGUACCACAUCUUGGACGUUCUUGGG